rnacentral:lncRNA from 1 species
UAAGUCAGAAUAAACUUUGAAAAUUGAUGUUGACAAAGAGUAGGACUCCAAGAGUAGCCCCUGUCCGAAAAGGCUUUGGGUAAGGCAACAACAACUGGGGGACAUCUUGGCCCAUGCUAAGACCCCAUAAAUGAAACCCUUAAAACAAGUCCGAGGACACGAUCGAAGUAUCUGACUAGAAAAGCCUUGGAGAAUUACUUUAGAACCCAAUAGAUCGGGUCUUCAAACUUUGAACAAGAAGAUAAACAUAGUAAAAUUAUAGAACAUGCCA